GAGUCUGUGGGAUGUGUUGACUUACAGUAGUUUAUAAGCGGUCAUUAGUUGUAGACAUUAGGCUAUGUGGUUGUGCUCUGUAAGUGAAAAACAGGUUACAGAAUCCCUUCUAGCUCUGCAGUUUUAUAAGCAGCCUGGAUUGAACGCACCAGGUGAUACAACAUUCAGCUAUAGCUGCCUAUAUUUGGGACUCUGCUAUUAAUUGAAGUUUUACGGUAUUCAUUGUCUCCUAUUAGAGUAGCUACUAAUGAGAUAAAUAUGAUUAUGCACGUAUGCUAUCAUCAUAAUCAGCACCUCUGUUACUGUCAAUGCUGAUGGGGGAACUGUCUUCUGAACAUGCUCCAUGGCCUCAGUGAACCUUUAGGCUGGUCUUUAUAUACAAACAGUUGGCUUUGUAAGAAAAUAUUGCAGAUUCUGGAGGAGACCUUGUUGACAGUCUGACUUAUGGGUUUCUUUCAGGGUUCCAGUCAGGUUUUCUCUCCUGACAAGCAAGAUAUUUUGUGUUUUAUGCAGAAUAAUAUGUUUUACUCACCAAAUGUCACAAAGGGUACAUAUACUAGCCUAUGUUAUGGAUCCUCACAUUGAAUGCAACCAGUGAACAAUAAUGAAAACCACAACUCAAUAUGUAAUCAGCAACAGAAGAAACAUGUAUUAAAAAACGGGUAUCACAAAACAAUAAACACAACUCGAAUUACCCCUCAGGAUCCAGUUCAUUUCAAUUCAGCAAAGCAGUUCAGUUCAAAAAUAGUUCAGUUCCAUUUUCCUGACAAACUGACCAUCAAAUAAAAAUUGCUCCGUUCCCCGUUUAAAUCUAUCUGGAUCAGAGUUCCUGGCUGGUCCUCCACAGUCCUCUCCUUCAGGUUCUGUUUUCAUGUGUUCUGUUGAGCUGCUGCCCCGAGACUCCUCACUCUGGUUUUGAUGAAGCUGCGAGGACCGACGACCGGCACACUGAUGGCUUUUGACCUGAUUAAGCAAAGUCAAUCAGCUGAAUGGUUUGUCUCCUGUGUGAAGUCUCAUGUGUAACUGUAAAUGUGCAUACCGUGAAAAACCUUUCUUACAAAGUGAACAGUGGAAAGGUUUUUCUCCUGUAUGACAUCUCAUGUGGUUCUGCAAAUCUUCUGGGCAAAUCUUUUACCACAGACUGAGCAGCUGAAAGGUUUCUCUCCUGUGUGAAUCCUCAUGUGUGUCUUCAGAUUUGAGUUUUGGUUAAAUAGUUUUCCGCACUCAAAACAGCAAAAUGGUUUCGCAACAGAAUAAUAGUCGUGAUUUUGCAGAAAGUUUAAACCUGACUGAGGUGCUCUGGUCUCCUUCCAAUCAUCACUGACUUCAGGUUCAGAGGAGUAUUUAGUCCUGUCUUCAGUCUCAGAUUGUAAAAGUCUAUCUGGAUCAGAGUCCCUGGCUGGUUCUGGUCCUCCACAGUCCUCUCCAUCAGCUUCCAUCUGUUCAGUUUGGCUCUCAUGAAGCUGUGAGGACUGAGGUUUCUCUUCAUCUUCUUCACUCUUCACAGAGACAGGAGUGAAUGUGAACUUGGUGAUAUCAGCCUCCUCCAGCCCUGGAAGCUGCUCUCCCUCCUGACUGGUCCAGAGUUCCUCCGGUUCCUCUUUAAUGUGUGGCACCUCUAGUGGGUCCUCCUGGUCCAGUCUCGGGCUCCACUCCUCUUUAGUGUGUGGGGGCUCUGGGUCCUCCUGGUCCAGACUGUGUCUCCACUCCUUCUGCUCAGAGGGAACCUCUUGUUUACUCCCCUGCAGCUGCUGAACGUCUUCAUGACUCACUGAAACACAGACACAAUGAGGAAAACUAAACCACACAGGCUGGGCUAAAGUAAAGGAAGAAGCUGAAUAAAAGAGAGGACAGUUUGAUCUCAGUGAGACGACUUGAUUAAAUAACAGAGGUGUACAUCCCUCCAAUAGAGUUCCACAGACUUGGAGCCCUGAAGCUGUUCUGGACUCCAGACUGAGACGCUUCAUGUUGCUUUCUCCUUGCAUUUGUCACGUAUGUAUAUCGACAACUGUACACCCAGUCAGCCACUUUAAUUUGUGAUAAAGUUUUUUCUGACAGAAACAAUUCUGUGAUUUGACCAAAUACUACUUUAUGAAACAUGUGACAGCCACCGUUAGCUAUUCUCUUUUAUAUUAUGUCAAAGUUAGGAAAAAACAAUUUUCUGUUCUUUGCAAUUACACCCCCAAACGCUUGUUGGCAGCAGCGCUACAGCGUCUACUGUGUUGAUUUUUGCCGGCCGAGCAGGCUAACUUCCGGUUUAGCGCUCUGCUAACGUGAAUGGAGGUAAAAUUGUAAACUUGCGGCUGGUGUAGCCUUUUCAAAUGCAUCACAUUCUGAUAGUGAAACGAGUCAUUUCGCUUGGGUUACGACGGUCAAAUAAAUCGAUCCACCAUGUUACAGCCGCCGUUUUGGCCGCUAGUAAAAGUUACUUCAAAGCACGGGGCACUUCCUGUUGGCUCGGAGGCAUUGCGAGGCUGCCCAGCCGACCAAUCACUGUUCUUGAGGUCCGCGUCAACUCGAUGAGGAGGUGCACGUCAGGCAAUGGUGUAUGCUACGGGGCUACGAAAUCAAAAAAAUCUAAAAUUUUCACAUUAUACAGCCCUGUGAAAGCAGGUUUUAAUGACCAGGAACAUUCUUAUUAUUG